UACGUAGGAGACGAGCGUUGUCCGGAAUCACUGGGCGUAAAGCGCGUGUAGGCGGAUCGGCAAGUCUGCUGUGAAAGCUCCUGGCUUAACCGGGAGUGGUCGGUGGAAACUGCCAGUCUGGAGGACGGUAGAGGUAGGUAGAAUUCCCGGUGUAGUGGUGAAAUGCGCAGAUAUCAGGAGGAACACCGGUGGCGAAGGCGGGUCUCUGGGCCGAUACUGACGCUGAGGAGCGAAAGCGUGGGGAGCGAACAGG
rnacentral:rRNA from 1 species